rnacentral:rRNA from 1 species
CCCUGAUUGUACUAAUUGAAUAAGUGACAGCUAACUAUGUGCCAGCAGCUGCGGUAAAACAUAGGUCACGAGCAUUAUCCGGAUUUUUUGGGCGUAAAGGAAGCGUAGGCUGAAGUGUGUAUCCAUUGUUAAAAGUACUUGCUUAACAAGUGUUCGC